rnacentral:ncRNA from 2 species
UGGCGCUUGCGUGACUGGCGCCGCGAGGUGGGUUACCACCGGGGAGCGCAGGCCGCGCCCGCAACGCGGGUGCGAGACGCCGCGCGCCUGGGCAUGACCU